GAUGAACGCUGGCGGCGUGCCUAAUACAUGCAAGUCGAGCGAACAGACGAGGAGCUUGCUCCUCUGACGUUAGCGGCGGACGGGUGAGUAACACGUGGAUAACCUACCUAUAAGACUGGGAUAACUUCGGGAAACCGGAGCUAAUACCGGAUAAUAUAUUGAACCGCAUGGUUCAAUAGUGAAAGACGGUUUUGCUGUCACUUAUAGAUGGAUCCGCGCCGCAUUAGCUAGUUGGUAAGGUAACGGCUUACCAAGGCGACGAUGCGUAGCCGACCUGAGAGGAUGAUCGGCCACACUGGAACAGAGACACGGUCCAGACUCCUACGGGAGGCAGCAGUAGGGAAUCUUCCGCAAUGGGCGAAAGCCUGACGGAGCAACGCCGCGUGAGUGAUGAAGGUCUUCGGAUCGUAAAACUCUGUUAUUAGGGAAGAACAAAUGUGUAAGUAACUAUGCACGUCUUGACGGUACCUAAUCAGAAAGCCACGGCUAACUACGUG
rnacentral:rRNA from 1 species